AGAGAGCUCUGGCGAUGGCGAUUGAUGGACAAAAACCAGAGUAGGAGAUUAUGAGAAAAUGGCGAGCUUUUAGUCCGGUGCGGUAUGAUAGGAGAAGCACUAAAAAUAUUUGAGGACAUGGAGUUAUAGAAUAACGAACUUGAAUACUUUUGUGUCCAUCUUAAUAGAAAAGAAGGCUGCAACUGAUGAGCUCAUCGAGGAGCGGCUAUUUGAACUGUCCAAUGAUCCGAGGUUAUGGUAAGUGUAACCUGAAUGUAACCUUUCUGUUCUAAAUGGCUAAAUCGAACAUUUGCUAUUUUUUCUCACCUCGUACAUUUCAAAGAAGGCUCGCAAAAUUGAUAGUGUUGUACUUGUAUGUUUAGAAUUUGAUAAAGAUUUAGUUCAACUACUGGUAUCUUGCUCAGUGUAUUUUUAAUGUACUUU